GAUGCAGGGUCAGGCUACUGGGCCAGACAUGUAGCUGGGCUGACCUGGUCUGGCAAUUCCUUUGUUACUGUACUGUAUCUUUUUGAUAUGAAGAGACUGGUAAGACUGACACAUUAUUUGUUCUCCAAGGCAAAAGCUAUCUCUUUCUUAGGAAGCUGCUACUCCUCCCUUUGGUUCCUUUUCCAUGCUCUGGAGGCCAGCAACCUCUCCAGAAAUAGAGGUGUCAGAUUUAAUUGACAAGUUAGAAGGGAUGGUAUGUUUCUUGUGGAACUCGAGUUUUUGCACAGGGUUUCUGAUAUGUUUUAAAUCCUUCUCAUUAUGCAUAAGUAUCUAAUGUAAGUUCAUUUUUUUUGCCAUCUGUGUGCUACAGAUUGUGAUAUCUGUAAAUUGUUAUGGUUCUUGAUGUCUUCAUAGCAGGUUUAGUACUCAAGAAUAAAUCAUUCAAAGCAUAUGUUUUGAUUACAGAAAUUAGUUGAUUAAAUGUUGCACAUUUUAUGAAUCCCGAGAAAAUUUAUUCUACAUUAUGAUCUAAUAUUUAAAAAUGUAAUUCUAGGAUACAACUUAGAAAUGAAUACUUUUCAUUUUGCAAGGAGAAGGAUUCCUGUUACCGAACAGAAAAUUUGAUUCAGGUUCAGCUAUUGAUCAUUGAGUGUGCAAGUGAUAAGCAGUGUUCCUGCAGACUGAUAAUUGGGAGCACAUCUGAAAGGAAAUGCAGAAAUGGCUGUUGGCCUGUGGUAAGAAAUGCAUUUUGAAGUGAUGGAAGAUUCCCUUAUAAAUACUGAUAUGGACUGCACUUUAAGGAAUGUGUGCUCCCAAAAGAAAAUUCAGAAGUUUUUGACACAAGAGUCUGUGUUGAACUGUUUGCUACCUACAACCAGAAGGGGCAGCCUGAAGACAGUCUGGGGCCAUAGGAUAUAUGUAUUCUGCAAAGUAGAGGGAAGAAUUUGUAGGAAGCCACUCUUCCCCAGUUCUUCCACAUAGACUCUUAGCAGGCUGGAUUUUUUUUUACAAUGAAGUCAUCUAUAUGGCUGUUCUUUCUGUUUGUGCUAUCAUACAUGGCUUGCAGAUUGUGAAGAUAGAGACAUGGGAACAGGCUAAUACGAAUGCCUGGGAAUAGAAGAUAAUACAGAUUUUACCUUUCUCAAUGCUAAUUCUCUGGCUCUGCAUCUUGGCAGAUCCAUAAAAGGUUGUAUUUUAAGACUUCUGAGUCUAAAAUAAAGGUGUUGAAGAACAGUGUUUUAACA
rnacentral:lncRNA from 1 species